rnacentral:rRNA from 1 species
UACGUAGGGUGCGAGCGUUGUCCGGAAUUAUUGGGCGUAAAGGGCUCGUAGGCGGUCCAUCGCGUCGGGUGUGAAAAGCUGGGGCUUAACCCCAGUCCUGCUUCCGAUACGGGUGGACUAGAGGUAGGUAGGGGAGAUCGGAAUUCCUGGUGUAGCGGUGAAAUGCGCAGAUAUCAGGAGGAACACCGGUGGCGAAGGCGGAUCUCUGGGCCUUACCUGACGCUGAGGAGCGAAAGCAUGGGGAGCAAACAGG